GGCACUACAUGUAUGCUCGGCACCGCUGCCGCCGCAGGGGAAUCCGGUGCGAAUCCGGAACUGUCCCGCAACGGUGAAUCCACGCGUCCGCGCGUAGGGCUGAGUCCGAGGACCUGCCGGCAGUGCGCCCGGCCG
rnacentral:ncRNA from 2 species